UACGGGGGGAGCAAGCGUUGUUCGGAUUUACUGGGCGUAAAGGGCGCGUAGGCGGUCGUGACAAGUCACUUGUGAAAUCUCCGGGCUUAACUCGGAACGGUCAAGUGAUACUGUCGGACUAGAGUACAGAAGGGGCAACUGGAAUUCUCGGUGUAGCGGUGAAAUGCGUAGAUAUCGAGAGGAACACCUGCGGCGAAGGCGGGUUGCUGGGCUGAUACUGACGCUGAGGCGCGAAAGCCAGGGGAGCGAACGGGAUUAGAACCUACCGUAGUCA
rnacentral:rRNA from 1 species